CCGACCUACUGUACUGUAGCUCAUUAAUCCCCAAAAAAAAAAACCACCGAACUUUCAAAAAAUUACGUGUAUCUUCUUCGUGCAACCCCAUUGAAGAUCUCCAUUUUCGUCCAUUGUUGAAGCUUCAACAACAUCCAAAACUAGCAAUUUAUCCUCAAUUAAAGCUCGAACAAGAUUCCAAAUUCUCCAUUGAAGCUCGAAAAUGAUUUAAAGUGUUGUUAUUGAUGCUGGAAUAAGUGGGAGGAUUUUGAUGAAUUGGUCUGACUUUUGCAAUUGAGAAUUGUUUGGUUUUGUACAUCAUAUUUCAAUGGAGGAAGUUGAAAGAAAAAAUUCUGUCCGUAAGUUUGGAAGUCGUAUGUCUCCAUCCGGACUUCACUCUAUGAUUGAAAAUAUGAGUUCUGAACAAAGACAAGCGGUAAAAGAUAUCGGGUUCGGUGUUUUUCUUGAGUUGGGCUUUGGGGCUCUAAACAAUAAGCUAAGUCUUUGGCUUAUUGAGAACUUUGACCCAUAUAGUCGUACAUUAUAUGUACGAGAUGGGAAGAUCACGAUAGAUCGAGAAGAUGUCCAAGUGACUCUUGGCCUUCCUAUGGGUCCUAAGGUUGUGAAGGAAGCAAUGAAGGAUGAUGACAAUGACGAAUUCCGUAUUCUUUUCGAACAAUGGAGGAGUAUAUGGGGUUUGGAGAAAGGAUGCCCUAAAACUACAAAAAUGCCGGAGAGGAUUCUUACUUUGG